rnacentral:lncRNA from 1 species
GUUACUUUACAAGAAGCUAUGACUGGCAGUGAGCAUGAGGCUGGAGACUUCUGCGAUGCAGGGCAUCAAGGACAAAAUGGAUGAACACGUGGAGCCACACCUCAGCUCAGCUCCAGAACCUGCCAGUACCUCAAGAUUAGACCUCUUCCUGAGCUUUUCUAGCUCCAUUCUAUCACCUUUAACUAGACAUAGGCCUCUGGAAAGAAUCUCUUCCCCCUCUCCCAAGUGCCGUGGCUUCACCUCCCCCCAGGGCAAGAAGCACAGAAAAUCAGCUCUCCUCUGCAAGCCAGUGCUGCCUCACUUCUACCUAUGACCAGGAAGGGGAGGGUAUAGGGAUGAGAGAAUAAAAUCCCAUGUCUUUAAAGGGACA